GUGUAAUGUACUUUUUUAAACAUUUUGUUUAGGCAGAUGAAAUGACAUUGCCUUAUUUUUCGGGAAUGCUCUGACAUGAGACAAUAAUUUUUUACUUGUAAUAUAAAUGAAAAGUAAAUCAUUCUGGCCCUAAUUAUAGCUGAAUUAAUUGAUGAAUAGGUUGUGAAAAUGAUAAGCAACCAAUGUUAAGGCCACAAUCUACCUAUGCCUGUUGUAGAGAGAAGAGCCUGUCAAAAGCACCUGCUUGGUUUUAGAGUGCUGAGGUUGAGCUUGGGUGGUUUGGGAAUUAGAUGUUGUGUUGUUUAGUAACUGUUUUAAAGAAAUGGUGGUUACCAUUGUGUUCAUUUCCAACCUGCCUUGAACAUUCACUUUGACUGACGAUGCUACUUCUAUUGCUGCACUGUUUGUGCUGAUUCAACAACAACAUGCACUUAUGACUGACUCAAUGGAAAUGUUUAGUCCUACUGUUUAUGAUGGCCUUGGUUAGUUAAGUGAUGAAGUGGUUAGAGAAAUGGACUGGUGAAAAGAGGAUUUGGGUGCAGUUCAAUUGCACUGAGCAAUCAACAUUCCUCUGUAUAAAUGCAUUGUGUUGAAAACAUAAGUCCUCUGCAAGUGGAGAAUUCUAUAGUUGCAGUACAAUGUGCAUGUUUGAUCACUACUCUAAAUUAAAAAGAAAUGGGGACAUUUUAAUUUAGCAGAUUCCUCUAUUCCUUUGUAGAUCUUCCUUUUGUAUUCAACUAACUGCAAAUUCUAAAUAAAUAAAAUGUUACAUUUCAUAGCAGGUUUUAACAUUAUACUGAUGUUUCAGAUAGAUGUUGAAUAAGGUCAGUUAUUUGGGAACAUAGUUGUACAAGUUCUGUUAUGGACCAAAAAGCCAAACUGACUUAACUAGUUGGAAUUGUUCUCUAGCAAUUGGAACAAGAAGUAACAACCUCAAAUAUUUAACUGCCAUGUGCAUUGAGACAUUUGAAAAAAUGUGCCCCUUGUUCUUAAUGUGUUGUAAAUUGACUUAUUCCGAGCUUCUCUAAAGCACUGUAUGGAGAUCUGAAAACAAAUAAUUUUAUAUACCUGUACUGUUUAGGAACAAAGAGACAAAGAUAAAUGUUUUCUCUUGAGGAAAGAUAUAACACUUAAAGAAGCUGUAUGACUUUUUUUUGACCAAUUUGUGGUUUCUAUGUUUUUGGCAUUAUAUGGGCCAUUAGAAUAAAUCUUAAUAAAGGGAUGCAUAUUGAUAAUAAAAACAGACAUCAACUGCUC
ensembl:lncRNA